rnacentral:tRNA from 1 species
UCCCUGGUAGUCCAACGAUGAGGACUCUACACUUCCACUGCAGGAGAUACGAGUUCGAUCCGUGGUCAGGGAA